AUUGAACGCUGGCGGCAGGCCUAACACAUGCAAGUCGAGCGGAUGAAGGGAGCUUGCUCCUGGAUUCAGCGGCGGACGGGUGAGUAAUGCCUAGGAAUCUGCCUGGUAGUGGGGGAUAACGUCCGGAAACGGGCGCUAAUACCGCAUACGUCCUGAGGGAGAAAGUGGGGGAUCUUCGGACCUCACGCUAUCAGAUGAGCCUAGGUCGGAUUAGCUAGUUGGUGGGGUAAAGGCCUACCAAGGCGACGAUCCGUACCUGGUCUGAGAGGAUGAUCAGUCACACGGGAACUGAAACACGGUCCAGACUCCUACGGGAGGCAGCAGUGGGGAAUAUUGGACAAUGGGCGAAAGCCUGAUCCAGCCAUGCCGCGUGUGUGAAGAAGGUCUUCGGAUUGUAAAGCACUUUAAGUUGGGAGGAAGGGCAGUAAGUUAAUACCCUGCUGUUUUGACGGUACCAACAGAAUAAGCACCGGCUAACUUCGUG
rnacentral:rRNA from 1 species